rnacentral:lncRNA from 1 species
CACCAUGAGAAAGCGACUUCAGAGGUGGUAUUCUGGCUGUGGCACCUGCUCCUGGAGGAUCAGCUGUCCCAGGACAUGCUGGGGCCAGACAGGGCAGGGGCGGUGGCGGCUGAAUGAGUCUGGCCUGAGAUUCAAUCGGGUGACCUGGGCACAGUUGAGUUUUAUCAGGUAUCUGUUAAGCACCUACUCCUUGUCAGCAUUGUGGUCUGUGCUAAAAAAGCACCGAAGAAUGAGAUAGACUUGAUCAAACCCUUCCUGAAGCUUACUGAAGAAGAAAGAUUCAACUGACAAGCCUGUGAGUCCUAAAAGAAGAAAUGCAGAUUGCUAAGGCAGCAAGGAUUGGGGACUUCACUGAAUCUUGGGGGGUCAAGAAGGGGUCCCCAGAAAGGUGAUGCUCUUGCAGAGACUUGAUGCACAUAAAAGGAGCUUGGGACUUUGGAAGUGGUUUUAAACAUCAGUUCUUGCACCCUCUGCCUGGGAUCGUUUUCUCACCAACACCUGCUGGCUUUGAAUGAAACUCCCUCCCCCUUUAGGGAACUUAUGCAGCUGAAGAGAAAUGGAUGCUGGGAACUGCUUCCAGGGACCUGGAAAUUGAUGAAGACACACACAAGGUAACGGACACGGGGCCAGCUGCGACAUUUUCUGUGUGCCUUAAUGAGGAGUGCUGGGGCUGUGCUACUAAGAGCUGAACUCUUGGCCCAGCUCACCCGGCUGAAGGAGAAGGGGGAGAAGCUGGCAGACUGCGGCGCUUUGUGAGGAGAAAACAAAUGGGCCUGUAACUUGAUCGAGGUGGCGAGGGGAGGCGGCCAGGGCUCUAGGGAUGAAGAAUAGCUUCUCAGAGUAUUGUCAGGGGGAGGAGGCAGCCAGCAGAGCUGACUGCGGGGCUGGCGCGUGGUCUGCCAGCUUGAGCAUCCUUGGGCUGCCAUGCCCACCUGUCUGGAGCACCUUCUAUGGGUCAGGGACAUUUGCAGAGGGUAGGAGGUAGUCCUUGCAGCAACCGCACCUGGUGAGGAGUAUUUCUACCCCUGUUUUCUAGAUGAGACUCCUGAGGCUCAGAGAAGUGAAGUAGCUUGCCUGAGGCCACACAGCCAGUCAGUGGUGAAGGCAGGGCUUAUAUCCAGCUCUGUAUGUCUUUAGAGUGAUAUUUCUUCCACUGUCUCUUGCUGCCUGACAAUUUUGGGGGGCAAUGGUUCCUUCUGAAUUUUCUACAUGUAAUAAUGACAGUAAGAAUCCCUUUCAAGGGAUAUAUUUCACAAAGAGUCCUCUUGCAAAUGCCAUUUCACAGCGUCUUUAUAGUGUUUUCCCUUUGAGGUGAAAUGUUAUCCUCAAAUUUGAGCUGAGGACAUAGAAACACAGCCAGGCGGGCAGCUCCCCUAAAUGCCACUCAGCAAGGAGCUGAGACUGGCGAGGCCAAAUGGCAGGCACUUGCUACCAUUGUAUGGAGACCCAGGUGGGCUCCUCCAGUGUUCGACGAGAGCCAGAGUAUCUCCCACUCCUUCAAAUGAGAAGCCCAAGAACAAACAGUUUGUUUUUCUAACACGCUCAGAGCCUCUGCUUUGUUUCUAACCUUUGAUAAAGCCAGCAGCCCAAAUCCCCUUUCCUGUGCCCCUCCUCCCGAGAAAGGGAUGGCCAGCCAUGUGUAUUUUUCACUGGGGCUCUCACAAAGAAUGCUGCAUAUAAUAUGAAACAUGUGUCAUGGUGUUUGCUGGAGGGCCCCACCCCAUGCCCUUCCCUGCACUGUGGGAGCCUCCGGUGUGGGGGGAUGGGAGGGGGUCGGAGCCCCAGACACCUAGAGCAUUUCUCCCGGAACCGGAACUGCCCCCACCUGCAGGCAGAGCUGGUACCCAGCUCCAUCAUCCAUCUCAUCUCACUUCCCCAUUGGAGACCUUGUCACCCCACGUUUGCGUUUCUGGCAAUGUGUUGUGAGCCCGGCCUCAAACUCAGAUGUGUGAAUUUCAGCUGGAAACGUACAUGGGCUGCGCUCAAUAACAUCUGUGGGGUAAAUUAUAGGGUGAAUAGGGGAUGAACCGCUCUUCCUCCCAUCUCCCGGAAGUUGGCGCGCUGUGAUAUUGCUGAAGGAAAGAAUAAGUGCUCUGUGAUGGGGCUGUCACUAUUUUUGCCAUUCCCUUCUUAGGAGACAGGAUUGUUGGGAGCCCUGGUCCUUGAACCGGGAGCAGGUGUUAGAAUCACCUGUAGGCUCGUUAAAGCAUAGAUGGCUAGCCCCACCCCUCAGGGUGUAUUUUUGCAUCUUUAACACGUUCCUGGUGGAUGAGAUGCUGCUGCUUCAGGGGCGUGGGAGCUCAGAUGGUCUUUUUCAAGUGGGGUGCGGAUGGAGCCCAAGAGAAAAAAGAAACAGAAGAGAGAGUGACUGUCUGGUGGUGUGGUGUCUGAUGGUGUCUCAAGGGCACAGGGAUCAGCAUAGACCAGAGCCACCAGGACGGGCCUCCUGGAUGUGUGGUGGUGAAGGACGCAAGGGAUUUGGAAAGUAAAAGGAAGGAGAGCUUUGGGCGCAGGCCGGUGCGGAGGCAGUGUUGAGAUGAGACCAGCCUGCAGAGGGAGGGGGACGAAAACAACCUUCCUCAUCAGGGUUGCCUGGAGUUUACACUCUCCAAACCCCCUGCACAGAGCCCAGACAGCCUGGCAGGGCAGGGGUCACCUUCCCAUCUCCAAGGAGGAAACCAGCACAGGGGGUCAUGGGAAUUGAGGAAGGAGGGCCCAGGGCCACAAGCUUUGGCAGCUUAUUCUCUUACAACGGGUUGACCUUUCCCCUGUUUGAAAGCUCUUUGCAGCUGCUUUCCCCAGGGUGAGCAAUGCAGUCUAAGCCUUGGCAGGAAUCAUGGUUUCUCUCACCUGAUUUUUUUUCUUGUUCCAGUUUGCACUUACAAAUGUCAUCAACACAGAAACCACUGUUGCCCUCCUUACGCCAUUGGCUGGUGACUGUCUCCUCUUCCUGGUUCCUAAAACCUAUGAGGGUCACCCCAUAGCCCUGGAGAAGAGGAGGGAAUGGAGAAAUCUGGACUGAAAAUUCACCCUGUAUCAGCACCACGUUUGGCAUGUUUAUACAGGAGAUCUCACUUAGCCUACAGAGCCCAGGGCAUGUAGAGACAAGGUCGCUGAAGCUCAUGCUGAGGGUAAAGCUCAGGCUCAAGGUUAAACCCCUAGCUUGAGCUCUUGUUGUUAGCUGGUGGAGCUGAUAUCCAGCCUCCAAUCUGUUUGAGUUCAGAUGAGCCAAAUAAAUAGCUGGUUAUAAAAGGCCAGAAACUGGAGCCUUACCUGAUAUCAGUGCACACUGGGAAAAGGUUUCCAGAACACCCUGUGCUGUUUUUGCAGGGUCACACCUUUGCACAUGCUGGCCUCCUUUCCAAACUUUCCAGCCUCUCCUGCACUCAAGCUCCCCUUCAUCCUUCAAGCAGCCCCAUGAUGCCUCUGAGGUCCCCCACCUGCAGAGGUGCCUCUCUUCCAAGUUCCCCUUUCUUGUAUUUCUCCUUAACAUGGAAUUUAGCACCAUCUAUCAUAAUGGGUGUUUUCUUGGGCUUUUUUUCAACUGACUCUAAACUCAACUGCAUAUGUCUUUUUGAAUUACAGUUUUCUCUGGAUAUACGCCCUGAAGUGAGAUUGCUGGAUCAUAUGGCAAAUCUAUUUUUAGUUUUUUGAGUAUUCUCCAUACUGUUUUCCAUAGUGGCUGUACCAGUUUACAUUUCCACCAGCAGUGUAGGAGGGUUCCCUUUUCUCCACAUCCUGUCCAGCAUUUAUUAUUUGUAGAUUUUUAAAAUGGUGGCUAUUCCGACUGGAGUGAGGUGGUACCUCAUUAUAGUUUUGAUUUGCAUUUCUCUAAUAAUUAGUGAGGGGGUUCCCGUUGUGGCUCAGUGGAAACAAAACUGGCUAGUAUCCAAGAGGAUUCAAAUUUGAUCCCUGUCCCCUUUCAGUGGAUUAAGGAUCUGGCGUUGCUGUGAGCUGCAAUGAAGUUUGCAGAUGCAGCUCAGAUGUGGCGCUGUGGCUGUGGCUGUGGCUGUGGCGUAGGCUAGCAGCUGCAGCUCCGAUUUGACCCCUAGCCUAGGAACUUCCAAAUACCAUGGGUGCGGCCCUAAAAAGACAAAAAUAAUUAGUGAUGUUGAGCAUCGCUUCAUGUGCCUAUUGGCCAUCUGUAUGUCUUCUUUGGAGAAAUGUCUAUUUAGGUCUUUUUGCCCAUUUUUUGAUUGGGUUGUUUUUUUGGUGUUGAGUUGUAUGAGCUGUUUGUAUAUUUUGGAAAUUAAGCCCUUGUGAGUUACAUUAUUUUGCAAAUACUUUCUCCAAGUCUGUAGGUUGUUUUCUUCAUUUUGUUUAUAGUUUCCUUUGCUGUAUGAAAGCUUAUAAAUUUGAUUAUGUCUCAUUUGUUUGUAUUUGAUUUUAUUUCUAUUGCCUUGGGAAACUGACCUAAGAAAACAUUGCUACGAUUUAUGUCAGGAAAUGUUUUGCUUAUGUUCUCUUCUAGGAGUUUUAUCGUGUCAUGUCUUAUAUUUAAGUCUUUAGGCCAUUUUGAGUUUAUUUUUGUGUACAUUGUGAGGGUGUGUUCUAACUUCAUUGAUUUACGUGCAGCUGUCCAACUUUCCCAAUACCACUUGCUGAAGAGACCCUUUUUUCCAUUGUAUAUUCCUGCCUCCUUUGUUGAAGAUUAAUUGACUGUAGGUGUGUGGGUUUAUUUCUGGGCUAUUUUGUUUCAUUGAUCCAUAUGACUCUUUCUGUGCCAAUACCGUGCUGUUUUGAUUACUGUAGCUUUAAAGUAUUGUCUGAAGUCUGGAAAGGUUAUGCUUCCUGCUUUCUUCUUGUUCCUCAAGAUUGCUUUGGCAAUUCUGGGUCUUUUAUGGUUCCAUAUAACUUUUAGGAUCAUUCUAGUUCAAUGAAAAAUGUCAUGGGUAAUUUGAUAGGGAUUGCAUUAACUCUGUAGUUUGCUUUGGGUAGUAUGUCAACUGCCCAGAUUUUCUAUUUAGAAUUUGUGUUACUCUCUGAUGAUCAACCCUGGAGACUGCUAACCACCUGCCUGAUACCCAUUCUCUUCAUCUUGCAUACUGAUUUUAGUGAAUUGGAGAGUGCAAGAUGCCCAGUUAAAAAGGACAUUUCCCAGCCUCCUUAGAAGCAAGGGGUGGCCCUGUGACUAGGUAUUGGCCAAAUGAGAUAGAAGAUGAAGUUUUGGGGUGGGAUGUGGGGAAAGCCCCUUAAAAAGGGAAGGGGAUAUGGAAGACAUAGGUUUUUUUAAAAAAUUUUCCUUUUAGAACAGAACAUGAUGAUAAUAGAAUUGCAGAAGCAAUCUUGGACUAUGAGAGAACUUUGAGGGUAGAUGUAUGCUGAGGAUGGAGGAGCAGAAAGAUGGAAGGCGCUGGGGUUCUUAAAGGCCAUAGAUCCUAAGUUGCCUUCUUCUGGACCUCUUCCAUGAGAAAAAAAUAGACUUCUAUUUUUGUUUAAGUCAUUCUUAUCAGUUUCUGAUUAUUUAUGUGAAGAUGCAGGAAGGAAAGUAAGGUGUCAUCAGUUCUGGGCCUGGUGGGCUAGGAUGUUUUCAGAAAUAGAGUCCAGAAAGCUGCCAGAGGUAGUGCCUGCCUGAAUGGGGGUGCCUGUGGGCCAGAGGGCAGCUCGUGGCUGUGGGGUCCUGGUUCUCUCACCAGCACCACCUCCCACCCAGCUCCACCGAGUAGGAACAAGGCAGGACUUGGAGACUGGGGAGGGUGGGAGUGGGGGGUGGGCACAGCCACCUUGGGCUCAUCUCAGCAUUGCAUUUGGGGACUUUGAAUGGACUUCAGAGACCCAGAGUCUCUGUCAGACCUGAGGGUUGUCUACCCAGCAGCCACUUCUGUGAUGGUUUUGUUGUCAAAACACUGAUUUUGCUGCUCAAUUUGGUAACUCCUUUUCCUUUUUCCUGAUGUGUUUAGAAAAGGGACGUAUGAUCCUUCGUCAUGUCCCUGCCCACCCCCUUAUGAAAUACAAGGGGCUUGUCUGAGAAAGUUCUCCAUACUCUCUUCCUAAGAAGCAGCUCAAGACAAACCCUGAUCGUCUCUUGCCUUUGGGCAUUACUGAGUGAAUGUGUGAAGUUUGGAGUCACAGGAGUUCUCUUAACACCAUUAGAAAAAAAAAAUCAGGAGUUUCCGUCGUGGCGCAGUGGUUAACGAAUCCGACUAGGAACCAUGAGGUUGCGGGUUCGGUCCCUGCCCUUGCUCAGUGGGUUAACGAUCCGGCGUUGCCGUGAGCUGUGGUGUAGGUCGCAGACGCGGCUCAGAUCCUGCGUUGCUGUGGCUCUGGUGUAGGCUGGUGGCUACAGCUCCGAUUCAACCCCUAGCCCGGGAACCUCCAUAUGCCGCAGGAGCGGCCCAAGAAAUGGCAAAAAGACAAAAAAAAAAAAAAAAAAAA